AUUGAACGCUGGCGGCAUGCUUUACACAUGCAAGUCGAACGGUAACAGGCCGCAAGGUGCUGACGAGUGGCGAGCGGGUGAGUAAUGCAUCGGAACGUGCCCAGUCGUGGGGGAUAACGCAGCGAAAGCUGCGCUAAUACCGCAUACGAUCUGUGGAUGAAAGCGGGGGACCGUAAGGCCUCGCGCGAUUGGAGCGGCCGAUGUCAGAUUAGGUAGUUGGUGGGGUAAAGGCUCACCAAGCCAACGAUCUGUAGCUGGUCUGAGAGGACGACCGGCCACACUGGGACUGGGACACGGCCCAGACUCCUACGGGAGGCAGCAGUGGGGAAUUUUGGACAAUGGGCGCAAGCCUGAUCCAGCAAUGCCGCGUGCAGGAAGAAGGCCUUCGGGUUGUAAACUGCUUUUGUACGCAACGAAACGGUCCUGGUUAAUACCCGGGGCUAAUGACGGUACCGUAAGAAUAAGCACCGGCUAACUACGUGCCAGCCGCCGCCGUAAGAC
rnacentral:rRNA from 1 species